rnacentral:rRNA from 1 species
AUGAAUUUAUACACGAUAGGUAAAUAUAUUGCACAAGAAGAACUUUGUGUUAUUUUUAGGGAUGAGACCAGAUGCAUCGAGACAUUGUUGCCGGUGCCCUAUAAAAUCGGUGCAGGCAAGCUAUGCUCCUUCCUUGCAUUGUCCACCUAUAUCUUGGCAGUCCUAGUAAAACUGGAUCGGCGACCUAGCGCCCAGUCUAGAAAAGAAAAAAACAAACAUGAAAAAAAAGAAAAAAUAUAUAAAAAAGAAAAAAUGAGUGAAAACCCAGAAAAAAGAAACAAAAGAAAAAGAAAAAACCGAUUCAUAGAAGGUUCUAGAACCCUCUCAUAA